rnacentral:tRNA from 1 species
GCGCCUAUAGCUCAGCCGGUAGAGCAGCGGCCUUUUAAGCCGAAGGUCCCAGGUUCGAUCCCUGGUGGGCGCA